ensembl:snoRNA
GGGUGCUUACCACAGGCUGUGUUCUUACACUGACUGUAUAGAAAGAGGAGGCAGAGUAAACCUACCCCAUUACACCUCAGACCAGGCCUGUGCCUAGUCUGUAUUGUGAAUGGGGAGACAAGG